UUUGAAAGAGAGUGAAAAAGUACGUGAAAUUGUUGAAAGGGAAGGGCUUGAGAUCAGACUUGGUAUUUUGUAUGUUACUUCUUCGGGGGUGGCCUCUACAGUUUAUCGGGCCAGCAUCAGUUUGGGCGGUAGGAGAAUUGCGUUGGAAUGUGGCACGGCUUCGGUUGUGUGUUAUAGCCUUCGUCGAUACUGCCAGCCUAGACUGAGGACUGCGGUUUAUACCUAGGAUGUUGGCAUAAUGAUCUUAAGUCGCCCGUCUUGAAACACGGACCAAGAG
rnacentral:rRNA from 1 species